AGAGGAAGGGGCGAGCGAGUCUGCCCCGGAGAUAGCCCCCGGGUCAAAGAACGGGUCCAGCUCCGGCCAGGGAUUUCUCUUGGGUCUAAUCCGGGUUGCUGGUAUUGGAGCCACUGGAGAGCAGCUCGGAAGCCACCGGCUGGCGUUAGGGCAAACUGACUAUUGCACCCCGGACUAUCUUGCCUUGUGCAGACCGGACUGAAUCGUGUGCUAGCAGGUGGGGGAACUAGCAACCCGGCCUUCCCAUCUUUCAGUGCGCUUCUAAGUGGCAAUAGUGCAGAAUGUGGCGCCUCGAAAUGGUGAAUUGCAAGAGGUUGCAAAGACCGACCCUCUCUUGAGUUAGCGUCUGAAUUAAGUUAUGCACACAGCCAGGAAAUCCAGAAAUCUGUGCAUGACUGAAACUGGCCCAACAUAACAUGACCUUAGAGAUAGUGAUGAUAAGCAGCCUUGAAUCUUCCACAGAGCAACUCUGCUCAUCUGAGGUGCAUCAGUUGAUGAGAUUUGCCAGCAUGACAGAUCCCUUCUGUCACUUCUGUGCCUCUGCAUCGCUUUCAGCCAUGGCUGCACUGGCUCUCUUGCCAGUUAGGAUAGAACCUUUUCUGACCUCUGUGUUUUCUCAUGUUGGAAAGGUAAGCACGGCAGUAGCCAAUCGUUCUUCAUGUUGUCCACUGGGUUCUUGCUCUUGUGGGUGCAUUGGUUCAGACAAGCACUCGUAAAGGCCAAAGCUGUGUCAAGUAGGGAUGUGAAAAGUUAACCGGUAAGCAUCACCCUAAACGGGUGAUGCUUACUGGUUCCGGUUAACCAGUAAGAUCUGGAGCAGCUUCUCUUCCUCCCCCACUCCCACUGCAGGUUACACGCGCCUUCCCUGGAAGGGGGCUGGCAGGGAGUUGACUAGAACCCACAGCAAAGCCUCCCCAGGAGUAGAGCUGGCAGCCCCUGCUGACCCUACUCUUGGGAAAGCAGCUUCACUGUAGCCUCUUCCCCAGGAGCAGGUCCGGCAGCUCUCACCGGCUACAUGCUCUGCAGUAUAAAGCUUAUUUCACUGCAUACUGCAGAGCCCACAGUGUGUAACCGUGUAACUGCUAAGAUUGUUUACUGGAUACACGGUUAUCUUUUUAAACAAAUUUUUACAUUCCUAGUGUCAAGGGAAACUGAGACUGGCUUGGUGUCCAUGCAGUCCAUUACUGCAUCAUUUCACAGGUUGCAUCUACACAGGUUUUUGUGAACAUUGUGUGGUACUAACUCCAUUCCAGCUGCACUUGUGGUAGCAAUGCAAUCUAGUGUAAAUUGGCCUGUGGUGUUUUCACCAUCAUAACCGUGGCUGUAACUCCAUAGCAUGUGCCGGUGACUCAGUGAGGAAAAGAUCUGAUCCCUAUGUACAUUCUAAUAGCACCACUGGAGCUACACUAGUGCUAAUGUGACUGAAGAAGAUAAAAACUUCAGUGUAGACAGGGCAUCUCUUGUGAUCUUGAAACUGGUUCAGUGAAAAUUAUGCAGCCAGCUCUUAGUGGGAUGCAGACUGUGGCUAAGUCUGAAUAUGAAAUAAGAAUUUGUUUCAUUAUUCUGCCGCUUUCUGCAUCUGCUUUAAUAUGUAUCUCCAAUGCAUAACACUAUAAUAUGGUUAUCAGUGGUAAACAUUAUUGAUCAAGAGCCUAAAAUAGGGUGAGUAUAAAAAUGCCUGUGGGCUUCAAACCUAUUAAUUAUUUAAUAGGAAGAAAGGAGGAUUACGUUAUUGCUCCCACGGGGAGGAAGGAAUCCUAGUAAGUUAUGGAACUGGACUCAGAUGCAGGAGAACUGGAUUCAAUUUCUGGCUCUGCCAUGAGGCGUUUCUUAUUGAUGUUCACCUGGAGGACUAAGAAAGUAGAGCCAGUGAAGUCAAGUUGACUCUACUGAUACUAUCCUCCUAAAUUAAAUGGUAGAAGAACAGGGCCUGUCUCAGAGAUGGAGUCAGGACCUACUUAUUUUAUCAACAGUGACUGUUUUAUUUUGGAAGUUCUUAUGGCAAUAAAGGGACGCUGCCAAGUUAAAAUGUAACUAAUUCUCUUGUUAAAACGGAAUAAAUUUUACAUUUCUGUUUACCUUUCGACUCCUUUCACCAGUGACAUUGUGUGUUAAGCCCGUCACCUUGCACGUUACUAAAGUCACACUAUUGACUUUUCGUGUCUUGUGUAACAUGGAUUUGUUUGCUUAUAGCAUUCUAGAGCCCUUCAUUCCAAGCACUUCUUUUGACUGGAUGGUGACAGAAAUGGGAUGGAAAAAAGAUUGGUAACUGGUUGCAAGCUGUAAUUGUUUCCUUAUUAUUUAGUGACUAUCUCUUGGACUUGUCAGCUCUGCAGCUGAUGGAUUGAUGCUGCCGUUCUUGGUGUCCAUAAAAUGCAUUCUUCUAAACCAGCAUCAUUUGAUGCCCUCAAGUGGUGACACUGUGUACUGGUGCUUGAAAUUAGCAGUGGACAAGAGGAAAUAGCAACAGUUAUUGUAGAUUGACUGGCACUAAACAUUUGGUACGAGUGGUGACAAAAAUAUCUAGUACCCUAAUGUGUUUGCCAAGGGCAGAAAGAGUCUUUUGCAGGUAGGCACUGUUCUGAGAUUCAUGAGAGCUGGGUACAAUCCCCUGCUUUUUCAUAGUCUUUCUGUUUGACUCUGGGGUAACUUAUUUACAAUUAUUAUUGGGCCUAGGACCUCUGUGUUUCACAGUUUUCCAUCUGCAAAAUGAGGUUUGUAUUUCCUUACCAUGGAGGGUGGUGUUGAGGAUAAAUUUGUUAAUCUGUGUGAAGCAUGAAAUAGUCCAAAGAUGGGGAGGCUUUACAAACAAUAUAUCAUGGGGUAGAGGGAAGGGGAGAAAUUUGAGGAAAGAGAUUCCCCCAUAUUUGUUGGUUAUAAAUAUGCUUUCUUACUUACCUAGUCCUGUAUUGUUAUGUGCAUCCAUGUCAUUCUAGAGUAAUUUAGUAAAUUAACCUGGUGUAAAACAGAGAAGAGAAAUCUAAAAAAGUAAAAAUUAUUUAACCUUCUUUAAAAUCUUAACACUCACUUAACCCAAAUACUGACAAAGGAAGUCAUUUGUUCAAUAGAGCAUUUAUUGCAUUUCAAGAGAGAUUGGAUCCAGCUUGCUCUUUAGCAAUUACGGGCAGCUUCUAAUCUAGUCAAUUAAAGAAUAAAGUAGCAGCUUUGGGUGUUAUUCCUGCUUCUCAACCUCCUUCCAAGGUUUGUGGCCUUACCAUCAUUUUUUCUACUGAUCAAGAUGGGUUUUCUCUCCCCUCUUGUGCUGCAGAGCCUCCCUCCCCCCCCCGCCCCCAUGCAAAGCAAAAGGGAAGCUGAGCAUACAGUGACACUCCCUACUCACAAGGGGCAGUCAGUAUUGUCCUACAAUCUCUUGCAGUAUUUGCAUAAAUGGUCUGUACUCCUGCCUCUGGUAAACAAGAGCAGUACAAGGGCCUCUGGGCUACUCUGAAAGAAGUUCUCUGUUCAGGGACAUUCUGGGUGGAUCUGGGACUGGCCAGAGGUGAGACGAGGCCGGGAUGGUCCUACACUCCCUUCCUGGCAUAUUACCAGAGAGUAAGUUAGGGUAGCCUUUGAUGUUGAGCCUAGUCUGAGGAAAGGCGGAGGAGGGGCUACAUCAACCCUUAAAUACAUGAAUAGCACAAUCCACCUUCCUUCGGUGUUGAGCUGGUGUGAGGAUAAAUUUGGUUUUGUGCUGCCAAAUGCUCAAAGUAAACUGGUGGUAUAAAGAAAAAUACCAGAGGAGCUCAGGGGAUUUUAGUGUGUUACUGUGAUGGAAGUGGGCAAGCCAUCCAGAGAGAAACCUGACUUGUUUUACGUUUGCUGGUGUCCCUGAGGUGGUCUACUCUGAUAGGGAGCCAAACUUUCUUUCGUCAGCCCACAGGGGAGAAUUGGUUUUGCUUUAUUCAACUCUUCCUGCCCAAAGGAAUAGCUCAGACACUUAAAUCAAUAAUUAAGCAAAUGUUCUAACAGUUUCAUUCUUCUACUGAAAAAAACCCUGGAUGGCAGUGGUUAAUCUCCUGUGGAACUGCCAGGAAUAACAAGUACAAAUCUACUCUAGCUCCAGUAGGAAACUCAUCCAUUAUUUUCAAAUGCAGGUUUCAGUCUGUAAGGGGUUGGGCCCUCAUUAUCUUGAGUAAAGAUGCACUGAGCUCUCUCUUCUACAGUGAGCACACAUGCAAAAACUCUGGGCUCAUGUCUUCAAUACUGAGGACUGUGUUUAAGGAUAACUCAUAGUGACAGCUGGUUUAAAAAAUGCAGGUUGUUUGUGCCUCUUCUGCUUUAUAUAUAUUUUAACAAACAACAAGCUUUGGAUUCCCUAGAAAGAUGCUUGGGCAACAGCCAGCCAGAGACAUUUUUGUUAAGCAAAUCUCUGCAAACUCAUUUCCUCUGUUGUUUGUAACCUUGUAGUUAAUCAUUGUGUAUUUGUUCUUUUUUAGAUGUUCCUGUGGCUGUCGUUGCCAGGGAUCUGCCAUCCCCUUUAGUGAACACAGAGUCCUGUUGUGGUCAGCUCCCAAUUCAAUAGGAAACCACCAGACUUACUCUGACAGUCAUACAUCAAGCAACACAGUGACCUAGAUUUUGGUUCAUUAUUCCUUCUACAUGAAAAAAGAUUCUUGCUUGCAGGGGACUUUAAAUUGGCAGAUAGAAACAUAACAAGGUCCAAUGGCUGGGAGUUAAAACAGGACACGUUCAAACUGGAAAGGAGGCCCAUAUCUUUAAGUAAGGGAUAUGUUCUCAGCUGUGUCAAUUGUCAUAGAUCUGACAUCAGUGGAGCUAAGAAUGUUUACAGCAGCUAAGAAUUUGGGCCAUUUUUACAUCUUUCUACAAUACGUGCUCUUGGCCAACCACAAGCUAUUUGGCUCAAUGCCGGAAUUGCUGGGUCAAAUUCUCUUGCCUGUGUUAGACAGGGAGAUUAGAUGAUUGCAAUGGUCCCUUCUGGCUUUAGAAUCUGUGAAUUGUUGCUAGGAUAAAUUCUAAAAGGUGAUACUGUACCUUGAUAGAUUUGUAUUACCAGACAUCUUGAAAGAGAAGGUAGCUGCAAACAUUGCCUUCAUUUUAAAAGUCAGCACCCCCAUGAAUUUUCUCCUAUUCCUCUAAUGCUGGUAACUAAAUUUUCAAUGCCUGUGUUCAGUGUUCUUUGUAAGCAAACACCCAGGAAAGAUUAAAGUGUUGCCCAGCUGAUUGUCAGAGUGCCCACCUCUGCCCUAAACUGGCAGCAUGUGUUUCUAUUGGUGAUGCAUAUCUGCACAUGCCUCAGUGCGCAUAACCAUUUUUUUCCCACACACAGAUGGAAAAAAUUUGAGGGAACAUUGCCUUUGUUUAUUCCUGUGGAAUGUGUGUUUUGCAGAUUUGGUUCAUUCUUGAGCAUCUUCUGGCACGUGAGGUUGUACUGAUAAUUUUGUAAUGUGAAUACUAAAUAAAACUUCAUUGCUGCAUCUCA